rnacentral:rRNA from 1 species
UACGGGGGGGGCAAGCGUUGUUCGGAAUUACUGGGCGUAAUGGGCUCGUAGGCGGCCAACUAAGUCAGACGUGAAAUCCCUCGGCUUAACCGGGGAACUGCGUCUGAUACUGGAUGGCUUGAGUGUGGGAGAGGGAUGCGGAAUUCCAGGUGUAGCGGUGAAAUGCGUAGAUAUCUGGAGGAACACCGGUGGCGAAGGCGGCAUCCUGGACCACGACUGACGCUGAGGAGCGAAAGCCAGGGGAGCAAACGGG